rnacentral:tRNA from 1 species
GGAUGGAUGUCUGAGUGGUUUAAGGUAUCAGUCUUGAAAACUGACGUAUUUUAAAUACCGGGGGUUCGAAUCCCUCUCCAUCCG